ACGUACCUACGGGGGGCAGCAGUGGGGAAUAUUGCACAAUGGGGGGAACCCUGAUGCAGCGACGCCGCGUGGGUGAGGAAGUACUUCGGUAUGUAAAGCCCUAUCAGCAGGGAAGAAAAUGACGGUACCUGACUAAGAAGCCCCGGCUAACUACGUGCCAGCAGCCGCGGUAAUACGUAGGGGGCAAGCGUUAUCCGGAUUUACUGGGUGUAAAGGGAGCGUAGACGGCGUGCCAAGUCUGGUGUGAAAGGCCGGGGCUGACCUCCGGGACUGAAUUGGAAACUGGCAUGAUGGCGUGAGG
rnacentral:rRNA from 1 species